rnacentral:rRNA from 1 species
UACAGAGGGGGCAAGCGUUGUUCGGAAUUACUGGGCGUAAAGGGCGCGUAGGCGGCCGCCUAAGUCAGACGUGAAAUCCCUCGGCUCAACCGGGGAACUGCGUCUGAUACUGGGUGGCUUGAAUCCGGGAGAGGGAUGCGGAAUUCCAGGUGUAGCGGUGAAAUGCGUAGAUAUCAGGAAGAACACCAACGGCGAAGGCAGCUCGCUGGGACGGUACUGACGCUGAGACGCGAAAGCUAGGGGAGCAAACGGG